rnacentral:rRNA from 1 species
AUUGAACGCUGGCGGCAGGCCUAACACAUGCAAGUCGAACGAGUGGCGGACGGGUGAGUAAUGUCUGGGAAACUGCCUGAUGGAGGGGGCUAACUACUGGAAACGGUAGCUAAUACCGCAUACCAUCGGAUGUGCCCAGAAUGGAUUAGCUAGUAGGUGGGGUAAAGGCUGACCUAGGCGAAGAUCCCUAGCUGGUCUGAGAGGAUGAACAGCCACGCUGGAACUGAGACACGGUCCAAACUCCUACGGGAGGCAGCAGUGGGGAAUAUUGCACAAUUGGCGCAAGCCUGAUGCAGCCAUGCCGAGUGUAUGAAGAAGGCCUUCGGGUUGUAAAGUACUUUAAGCGGGGAGGCUUUACCCGCAGAAGAAGCACCGGCUGACUCCGUGCCAGCAGCCGCGGUAAUUC